rnacentral:rRNA from 1 species
GGAAUCUUGGACAAUGGGGGCAACCCUGAUCCAGCGACGCCGCGUGGGUGACGAAGGCCUUCGGGUUGUAAAGCCCUUUUUCCGGGGACGAUGAUGACGGUACCCGGGGAAUAAGCACCGGCUAACUCCGUGCCAGCAGCCGCGGUAAGCCGGAGGGUGCUAGCGUUGUUCGGAAUUACUGGGCGUAAAGGGCGCGUAGGCGGCCCUGUCAGUCGGGUGUGAAAGCCCGGGGCUCAACCCCGGAACGGCACCCGAGACGGCAGGGCUGGAGACCGGGAGAGGAGGGUGGAAUAGCCAGUGUAGAGGUGAAAUUCGUAGAUAUUGGCUGGAACACCGGUGGCGAAAGCGGCUCUCUGGCCCGGUUCUGACGCUGAGGCGCGAAAGCGUGGGGAGCAAA